rnacentral:rRNA from 1 species
UACAGAGGUCCCAAGCGUUGUUCGGAAUUACUGGGCGUAAAGGGCGCGUAGGCGGACAGUUAAGUUGGGGGUGAAAGCCCGGGGCUCAACCUCGGAAUUGCCUUCAAUACUGGCUGUCUUGAGUACGGGAGAGGUGUGUGGAACUCCGAGUGUAGAGGUGAAAUUCGUAGAUAUUCGCAAGAACACCGGUGGCGAAGGCAG